GCUCUUUGUCACCGGCUAAAAGCCCCAAUCAGGCUCCAUUGAUGUUCACAGGGGAAGCUGGAAAUGACCUUGGAGAUCGUUGCAGAAAGUGAACAUGAGGAGCGGCCUGCUGGCCAGGGUCGGGAUGAACCCAACAUGAAUCCAAAGCUAGAAGAUCCCAGGCGCCCUGACACCUCUUUCCUGUGGUUCACCUCACCAUACAAGACCAUGAAGUUCAUCUUGUGGCGACGAUUCCGGUGUGCCAUCAUCCUCUUCAUCAUCCUCUUCAUCCUCCUGCUCUUCCUGGGUGU
rnacentral:lncRNA from 1 species